rnacentral:lncRNA from 1 species
UCGGAAUAACCUGGCGCUCUGAUACCACUUUGUUGGCCAUCAGAUUGUGAUGCAGCGGAAUUACCAUAUAGAUUUGAAUUCAUGAUAUCAAAACAGAUUGAUAAUGAAUCGAUAAUAAGUCAAUAGUGUAGUAUUAAAGUGGACAAUUAAAGGCGGUUAAUGUAACACCCUGUGUUUUCGAAUGUCAAAGUCAAAGUCCAAAUAGUUGAUGGAAACUUCUGGACAAUCUGUUUCGCUCAGUGCCAUGCCCCGAUGAUUCCGCCAUCGGUUGGGGUGUGACAGUUAAAUUGUCUUGGUACCGAGUAAUGUUCCCGGCAAUAGACAUAAAUACACUGAGAGGAGAAACGGUUGGGAUGGCAGUUGAAUUUUGGCGGGAAUAACCGCCAUUCGAGACCGGUGCCAACCAUCAGUCACACCUCUUCAAAUUAUUACACACAUACAUAUAGGUAUACAUAUAUCCUAGGUUUAAUACAUAACAUAAAUACGAAAUUAUGU